rnacentral:lncRNA from 1 species
CCUGGUCUGGUGGCUGGCAACCCUGCACAUAGCAGGGGGUUGGAACUAAGUGAGCAUUGUUGUCCUUUUCAACCCAUAUUCUAUGAAUUUGUUGACUUGAUGGUGGGAUGCCUGUACUGUGCUGGGGAAGGGCACUUGUGUCUCUUUGGCUGCAUGUAGCUAUCUCAUCUAGCUGGCUUGUGUGAAGUUUGAUUCCAAGCAGUGUGUGAGCCCCAUACUGAAUAUGCACUCAUUUUCUGCUCUACCAAUUCUGUGUAAGUUCUGAGGAGCUGGUGUGUCACAGUGAUGCAGUGAUGCGUCGCAGUUGUUGAACACAUCCACAUUCAUUGACUUCCCAUGUCACAUUCUUCACUUUCUGCAUUAGUUGUUGUGAUUAGAUUCAAUUUAUUUCCUUCUUGCCCCUAUUUCAGAGGUUCGAAGUACAGCAGUUUUGCAUUGACAAGAAACAACCCACAAGAGUGGUGAAGCAGAGGAUUUUGACAUAGUCUGUGUAACAUGAGAGGCCCCAAAGAAGAUUGAUGGCAGUGGGAAGAAGAAAGGGUCUGCAGCUGAUGGAGGAAGGAAGAGGACAAGGAGGAAUGUAGCAGCCAAGACAAAAUGGAAGAGAUGAGGAAAAGGCUCUGGCUGAGAACAUUGGAAACAAUGUCAAAAUCAACCCUCUUCUGGAUGCUAUGGUCAUGUGCUGCCACUGAUGCCAGUGAAAGAAAGAGGCCACCAGGGGAAGUGGUCUUCACAAUAGAGGGAAUAUACUGUUAGAGCUGAGUGGAGCCAAGCAGCAGCUCACUCUUUACAAAGAGGGCCCAUGGCAUCUCCACCUGAACCCUUCAAAAGUUCACAGCUCAAGUGAAGGCAAAGUCCAUCCAUCCAGUCUGAUAGAAAGCUUUGCUGAGUUCCUUUGGAGGAGUAUGAGAUCCCUUACAUCUAAGCAAGCUGAAGAUCUGCCCAGGUCCAGGAUCAGAAUCUCUGCUACCAGUUUUCAAAAUGGCAAGACUGCAUUCUUAUCUCAUACUCACAUUUUUGUUGCAAAUUUUGCUGACUUCAAAUUAUAUGUAAAAUAUCCCCUUCCCAAGUGGAAAUAAAUACAUAUGUAAAUGAACAAAAGAACUUCCUACAGCCUUCAGAUUUCCAUCUCUCACAACAAAUUUAUUGUUUUUUUUUUUUUUUUAAUAAUAUGAAACUCACCCAUUGGUUUCCAGCAGCAAAAAGGCCUUCACUUCAGCAUCUCCUUUGGCCUAGAAAACUUCUCUAACUACUGGUGAUGUUAGGUUGCAAAUUAUGGAGCCUGAGGGCUUGCUAACAGUUUAUAUGCCAUCCCCUGCACAAGUGCUUACCAAAAAGACAGUUCUUAUUAGGAGGAACUGCACUGUACAAUUCAGCUAAGACUUACUGGGCAUACCCUUGUUACCUGAGUUUAGAAGCAGUUUAAUUUAAUGUAGCUUGAGGUUCAUGAUGUUUCUCACUGGAACUCACUGCAGGCACACAUGAGAAAACAUGCCCUUUACUUGUUUGCAUUUUAAAAAAGUGUAUAUUCAAAAUUUAAAUGAAAAAAAAAAUCUUUUCAUCUGCUCAGUUUGAGUUUCCACAUUUUCUCUCCCUUUAACAUUUCACCCUGAAACUGCAGUAUUGGAUUCUGAAAGCAUUCCUUAGAUUGUGUUAGUGUGACACCUAUUUGACAAUGUAAAACUGUAUUUUGCUGCGAAUAUUUGCCUUGUCUCAAAAUCUACAGUACUUGCUGGGAAGAUUUCCAGUGUCUUGGGGAGUCUUUCCUGCAAACCUUGUGCAAAACCUGAAGUAUUUUGCUGAAUGAGCUGAAUAUAUUUUGAUUGCCAUCAAGUUGUUCUAAAGCUCACUAAUUCUAUAUUGUUCAGGCUGUACUUUAUUUUAUGCAAUACCAACAUAAAUUGUACUUUUUUCCAUUUGAAAUAAAUUAAUUAGGGA